rnacentral:rRNA from 1 species
AUUGAACGCUGGCGGCAUGCUUUACACAUGCAAGUCGAACGGGCUGGGGGCAACUCCAGUCAGUGGCGAACGGGUGAGUAAUGCAUCGGAACGUGUCCCAUAGUGGGGGAUAACCCAGCGAAAGCUGGGCUAAUACCGCAUAAGCUCUAUGGAGGAAAGCGGGGGAUCGCAAGACCUCGCGCUUUGGGAGCGGCCGAUGUCCGAUUAGCUUGUUGGUGGGGUAAUGGCCUACCAAGGCGACGAUCGGUAGCUGGUCUGAGAGGAUGAUCAGCCACACUGGGACUGAGACACGGCCCAGACUCCUACGGGAGGCAGCAGUGGGGAAUUUUGGACAAUGGGGGCAACCCUGAUCCAGCCAUGCCGCGUGCGGGAAGAAGGCCUUCGGGUUGUAAACCGCUUUUAGCCGGGAAGAAAAGGCACGGGCCAAUACCCCGUGUUCUUGACGGUACCGGCGGAAUAAGCACCGGCUAACUACGUGCCAGCAGCCGCAGUAAGAC